rnacentral:rRNA from 1 species
UCGGCAGCCAGCUGCCGCCAUUGCAGUCUUCAGUACGAGCUUGACUUUUAAAGUGAAACCGCAAAGGCUUCAGUAAACCGGUCAUAGUUUACCGGAUAUAUGCCACUUCACGUGGAUAACUGUGGUAAUUCUAGAGCUAAUACAUGAGACCAAGUCCCGACCAGCGAUGGAAAGGACGCUUUUAUUGGAUCAAAACCAUUCGCCCGGUUCGCCCGGGCGUCUGCUUGAUGACUCUAGAUAACACCACAGAUCGCACGGUCACAGUACCGGCGACGUAUCCGUCAAAUGUCUGACUUAUCAGCUGUCGAUGGUAGACUCUGUGUCUACCAUGGCGCUCACGGGUAACGGGGAAUCAGGGUUCGAUUCCGGAGAGGGAGCCUGAGAAACGGCUACCACAUCCAAGGAAGGCAGCAGGCACGCAAAUUACCCACUCCCGGCACGGGGAGGUAGUGACAAAAAAUAACGAUACGGGACUCAUCCGAGGCCCCGUAAUCGGAAUGAGAACACCCUAAAUCCUUUAACGAGGAUCUAUUGGAGGGCAAGUCUGGUGCCAGCAGCCGCGGUAAUUCCAGCUCCAAUAGCGUAUAUUAAAGUUGUUGCGGUUAAAAAGCUCGUAGUUGGUUCUGCGUGCCACGCUGUCGGUUCACGGCCUGUCGGUGCAACUGGCAUGCCGUGGCAUGUCCUGUCGGUGGCUGACGGGCUUCGCGGCGUGCCCCUCUUGCUCACGCUUGGGGGUCGACGCGCCGUGUUGUCCUCGUUGGCCGGCUCAUCCCUACCGCGGUGCUCUUAAACGAGUGUCGAGGUAGGCCGACACUGUUUACUUUGAACAAAUUAGAGUGCUUCAAGCAGGCUCUGAAAGCAGCCUGAAAUAGUGGUGCAUGGAAUAAUGGAACAGGACCUUGGUUCUAUUUUUGUUGGGUUUUCGGAAUCCAAGGUAAUGAUCAAUAAGGACAGGCGGGGGGCAUUCGUAAUUGCGACGUUUGGAGGUGAAAUUCUUGGGAUCGUCGCAAGACGCACUAGAAGCGAAAGCAUUUGCCCAAGUAUGUCUUUAAUUGAUCAAGAACGAAAGGUUAGAGGUUCGAAGGCAUCAAUCUUCUCUUUCUCUUUACCCACCCUCCCACCAAAAAGGGUGGGGCAGGAGCGCGGAGGAGGGGGAAAGGG